UACGUAGGGUGCAAGCGUUGUCCGGAAUUAUUGGCGUAAAGAGCUUGUAGGCGGUUUGUCGCGUCUGCUGUGAAAUUUCGGGGCUCAACCCCGAACUUGCAGUGGGUACGGGCAGACUAGAGUGUGGUAGGGGGAGACUGGAAUUCCUGGUGUAGCGGUGAAAUGCGCAGAUAUCAGGAGGAACACCGAUGGCGAAGGCAGGUCUCUGGGCCAUAACUGACGCUGAGAAGCGAAAGCAUGGGGAGCGAACAGG
rnacentral:rRNA from 1 species